GAUGAACGCUGGCGGCAUGCCUAACACAUGCAAGUCGAACGCCUGUAGCAAUACAGGAGUGGCAGACGGGUGAGUAACACGUGGGAAUCUACCCAGUAGCUCGGAAUAACCGCGGGAAACUGCGGCUAAUACCGGAUAAGCCCCGAGGGGGAAAGGAGCAAUCCACUAUUGGAGGAGCCCGCGUCUGAUUAGCUAGUUGGUGAGGUAACGGCUCACCAAGGCGACGAUCAGUAGCUGGUUUGAGAGAACGACCAGCCACACUGGGACUGAGACACGGCCCAGACUCCUCCGGGAGGCAGCAGUGGGGAAUAUUGGACAAUGGGGGAAACCCUGAUCCAGCAAUGCCGCGUGGGUGAUGAAGGCCUUCGGGUUGUAAAGCCCUUUUGCCGGGGACGAUGAUGACGGUACCCGACGAAUAAGCUCCGGCUAACUUCGUGCCAGCAGCCGCCGCAG
rnacentral:rRNA from 1 species